GCCUGGAUAGCUCAGCGGUAGAGCAGCUGUUUUGUAAACAGCAGGUCAGGAGUUCGAAUCUCCUUUCAGGCUCAA
rnacentral:tRNA from 2 species